rnacentral:rRNA from 1 species
UACGGGGGGAGCAAGCGUUGUUCGGAUUUACUGGGCGUAAAGGGCGCGUAGGCGGCCAGCACAAGUCAGUUGUGAAAUCUCCGGGCUUAACUCGGAAAGGUCAACUGAUACUGUGCGACUAGAGUGCAGAAGGGGCAACUGGAAUUCUCGGUGUAGCGGUGAAAUGCGUAGAUAUCGAGAGGAACACCUGCGGCGAAGGCGGGUUGCUGGGCCGACACUGACGCUGAUGCGCGAAAGCCAGGGGAGCGAACGGG